CACAGGGCUGUGAGUCUCAAAAGUGGGCUGGCCUGAGAUGAUCUCACACCCUGGGCCAGCCCAAAGCCUGAGAGGCCCCAGGGUUGAUUUUCAACACAAAAUCUCCGUCUUACUCAUGGCCAAACAGCAACCCCCCUGCGGGCAGGGCCACCUUUGAACCAUGGGGGCAGGAAAGCCCAGCCACAUGGGCAGAGGAAGGAGGAGGGGAGCCCCCACAACCGACAGGAAACAGAGGGGCUGCUGGUAGACUGGGAGAUGACACUGUCAGUCAUAUGGACGUCUGCGCUGCCAGCCUCUCCAUGGAAACUGGAAGAGAGGAGGACAGACACAGAUGGGAGCCCCGGCUAAUUAGAGGGCUUACAAACACCGCAAAGAGGAAUGCAGCAUUCUGGGAAACUCAGACCACCGCCGAGUCAGCCAUCAUGAGGUCUUCCCUUUGGGAGAGACAGCCAAGUACCAGGUGCAGGGAGCAUCUUGCUCCUUGGGGGUGGGUUUCAACAACACAUCCCAAAACGCAAAUGUGUGUGACUUUGUCCCCAAAGCAAAUAAAUAUUUCAGCACAUUGGAGGACAGGAACAUCAUGUGAACACACCAGUGUUCACACUUGGGCUGGCAAUAGGGAAGUGAUACAAUGGACCCUGUGAGCUGAGACUGUGUCUGCAGGCUGGGCUGGCGCCCGGCACCCUCCAAAAACCUGCUCAGAGUGCUAAGAGAAAGGGGAAGGCAUGCUUCAUCUUUUUUGCUUUCGAUUCCAUGAUCAUCCCCUGCGAAGAACCUUUAUUGCAGAAACCUCAUUUCUCUAUAAUGGUUCCCAAAUUUUUCAGAACAAGUUUGAGAAAGAAAGCUGAGUUGCAAUCAUUAGUUUCCCUCUCCCUCUUUCUGUGUGUGUGUGUGUGUGUGUGUGUGUGUGUGUGUUUGGUUGUCUAAGUAGCAAGUAUCUAGCUUUCCCUAAGUUAUAGAUUAUUUUCUUAGAUAUCAGGUCAUUAAAUCCCACAGGCAAGAUUAUCAUCCGCAUGGCAGGAACACUGAGGCCUGGAACCACAGAACUUGCCGAAAAUGGCCCAGCUUGGAGGAGUGGGACUGGGGAGAGAGGAAGGAAUCCCAACUCUAAGCCUCAGCUCCCGUACUCCACACAUGGGGCAGAUCGUCUUUCCCAGGCAAUGGAGGGUGUCCUGGGCAGCCCCGCGGGGGAAACUAUGAUGUGUGUUUAAAAUUACUUUCUCUGUUAAAUGCCAGGGAACCUCAGACAUAGUCUGGAUGUUAUAAUCAAAUUGCUUCUUAAUAUUAAUUUGUGCUGAUGCUUGCAAAGAAAUCCCUAGGAAACCUAAAAUAUGCUAUACAUUUGAACACUUUUUAUCUCUCGUGCAUCAGAAUCCUCCCAGAGUUUAAUUUGGCUCAUGGUGUAAACAAUUCCUCAUUUUCAUCCAGAAUGUGCCGCAUGUUGCUAUGUUUUCGGGAAGGAGAAAAAUCAUCUUAAUUUAUGUAAAGAGAAUUCCUAAAGAUAUGUAUAAUGGAGUCCAUGAGGCAUAAACACCAAAUGUGUAAAUAUCACAGAAUUAUCUCAGCACAUAUUGUCUCAGAAAUGGAAACAAAUCCCUGGGCUGCAAACAGUCACUCAGGAGAACCUUGAGUUUUUGAUUUGGCUAUUGUGCACGUGUAGGGCACUGGGAGGCAGAAUUCUGACAACAUCCCCCAAGAUCCCCACCCUUCGGCUUUCUCCCCCAAAUGCUAAUCUGGGUGAGGCUGCGAAAGGACUGUGCAGAGGGAAUUAGGGUUCCUGCUCGGCUGACCUUAACACAGGGAGAGCAUCCUGGAUUACGGAGUGGACCCAGUGAGGUCCUAUGAGCCCUCACAGGCGCCAGUGAGAGAGACGUGGUGGCGGGGAGUGCAGAGAUACCCAAGCAGGAGAGGGGCCCCCUACGUGCUGGCCUGACGCUGGAGGAUGGGAGCCAAGAGCCACGGAGAGGGGUUGCCUAGACCUGACGGUCACCCAGCCGACAGCCUGCGUGGGGACGUGGACCCCACCAACUGACUUUGAAAGCGAUUCAUCCCAGAGCCUCCCACAAGAAGCACGGCCCUGCCAACACCCCGAUUUCGACCUGUGAGCCUCUGAGCAGAGAACCAGCAAGACCGCAGACGAAGCUGGGCUGGGUUCUGACCUCCAGAAGCGGGCUAAGCAACAGGCUAAGAGAAAAACCGUAGACGUGACACCAAAACGGAGACCGCGUACGUGAGUUCACGGAACUUGCAAUGGACUCCCCGAGGUGCUUCUUUCUUGAUAACUGUCCCGGGCCCUGUACCCACGGAGACCCUCACUGGCACAGAGGACUGCAUGCAGCUGGGAGGCAGCCUUGCAGAUGGACUCAGGAUCAGAGGAGCACGGUAAUCUAACCCAGCACAGCGAAAUCUGUCACACGCCCAGGAGAAAUGGUGCUCGGUGCACAGAGAAAGACCAUUAAAAACAUGAAAAAAGGAAAUGGAUCGGCACAGGGCAAACCUCCCACAGAAGGACGGAUGGAAUCGAUACAAAGCAAUGAUCACGUGUGCAUUUCAAAACAGUUAAAGAACUGCCGUAUCUGCACUAAAUUCUCUACUAUUUCCUUCCUGCUCAGAAAGUCCAAGCUCUAAGGAAGCACACAGAGGCCUGUCAAUAGGAACAAACACAAUUUACUGAAACAGGGAGCAGGCCAGGAAGUGGGCAUACGCAAGACACCUAGGGAAACAAGACAAGAGCAGUCAGAGGAUGGCUUCCUUGUUCAAUUAAGGGAAUUUUAAAGUUUGUUCAGAUGCCUCGUGCAAUAGGUUGAAAGUAAGUGAAAAACAGCAAAUUUCACAAAUAAAUCUUCUCUGAAGUUCUGCUUCCAUAAAUCUGAAGGUUACCACUAAUGCAAUAAUACGAAUCUUGAGGAAAAAAAGCAAUUCAGGAUUACCGUAUGUAGAAAAUCAAUAUCUUCUCUAAUAGUUUUUGUAGAGUGCAUCAAUUUUCUUAGCUAAAAAAUGAUGGUGCUUUCUGUGUUUUAUGGCUAAAUACAAUGUAAAAUAUGGGGAAAGCCACCUAAAAGGAAGAAAAGCCAUAGUGCUUCAAAUAAUAAUGGUAAUACAAUAAUAAUACCUAGUCCAUUAAAAUGCACCAGGUACGUAGGAAUUACCAUUCUCCCUUAACAAUAAAAUUAAAUCAGGAAAGUGAUUUGCUUUAUGCUCCACCAUGGAAUCAGAAUCAUCUGUAUUCUCAUAUAAAUGACCAAAAUACCUCACUCAAAUAUGUUACUUGUAUUUUCUUUGGCUAUAGACUUUGUGCCAAGACGUGGACCCCCAGGCGGCCUCCCCUCCAAGCUGUUUCUCCUCGGGGAGACCUAGUGUCCAGGUCUGGCCACAUGCCCUGCCUGGCAUGCAGACGACCCUGGGCUCGAGUCUCAGCCCUGCUGCCUUCUAGUUAUGUGGCCUCGAACAACUCAUUUCACUAAUCCAAAUCUCAGUUUAUGAACUGACAUCUCACACACAUGCAAGGCUUAGACUGAAGACAACUCAGUCCCACUCAGUGAACCCAUAGCCUCCUUCUGUACUCUCUCCGAGGGGGGCACCUUGCCACCACAAGUAUGAUUCUAGUAGAUAAAGGAUUAUGUUCUUUAAUAACACAUCCCCGGAAAAUACAAGCCAGUACUUCAUUCCUAUCAACCAAUGACCCCCACAGGUAGGUUCUAGUGCUGGAGAAAAAAGUAGCCGAAUUAGCCUUGUUGAGGUAUUAAUGCCCUGUGGGUCUGCAGCACGCCGCCCCCUGAGAGGUAUGCGAGAACCUGCUCACCUCCACUCCACUUGCCUGUUACUGGCCAAACAGCAACAAGAGCUAUGAAUGCCCCUGACCCACGGAGACGCCUGAAUGGUAGCCGGUAUCAGACACUCUCUCUCAUCUCUUUAUUACAUUUUGAGAGCAGCUGCCCCACGGGUCUCCCUGCCUGCUUCUAGUUUCUCGUCUGCUGGUUCUCUGUGACCCCGUGGCCAUCAGGACAGCUCUGGCCAUGCGGAACCUGUCACCGGCCUGGAGCAGAGAGUCUAGUCUCCGUCUGGCUUGCCACGCCCACCCCGUCCAGGGUUCUGCCCAGCUGUCACCCCGGGGCCCCGCUCUCUUAUCCGGGAAGCGUGAAAGCAGCUCGAGGAAAUGGAACAAAAUAUUUCUGCUGUAACGUGAAAGCCUCUUACAGAAGAAAAAAAUAAAUAAAUCAUGUGAAAGGUGAAUCUUCCAAAUGUGACUUCCCAGGUAUAACAGCGAAGAAUGUCUGCACAUCUGCACCCGUGCAAAUGCUCCAAGAUUUCAUGUCUUAAAUGGGCUCUUUAAACAGCCUUGUAGGUGAAAUAAAAUAAAUACAAGCUCUUUAAAAA